AAAUUCCAGGAGGCAAGAUGACUGUGAGAAAUAUACAUCCAGGAUUCACACAGAUAUUCCAUGAUCUUCCAAAUCAAGGUACAGUGAUAGCUACAAGGGGGUGGAACUUUGAAAUAAUCAGCAGUUCCUGGUGGCAUGUAACCAAGUAAAAACCAGUCACAGGGAGAGCCACAAAUUCCCAAGGAAGAGAAGCAAAAUGUGAAAGAGGUGCCUCUUAUUAUGAGGGGACGGGGGUGAGGGGAAGUUAUUUGUGGUGAUCCUUAGGCAGACAGAGUGAAAAUUUACAGAUUGUACAUCCCCAAACAGUGGGGAAAAUCAGGAGCCCGGAGAGCAGGAGGUGGGAUACGGAUAAAUCUGCAAAGAGAAGUCAAAGGAUGUGUUGAAGACAAGGAGAUAAAGAGAGAACUAGUGAGCAAGGCUGUAGUCAUCCUGAAAGAUACAGCAGCCAGAAUGAUUUAGGCUUCUGGGAAGGAUCCAAUGAGAAUUCAAGAGGGCAUUGCUUCGGAAAUCCUGUUCCGAUCUUGCCGCUCUCAGUUCUUUAAGAGUUACCUGCGUUGGGAACAUUAUCAUUAGGAUUAAUAGUAUUCCAUCAGUGCAUUUCACAAGGAUUUCCCUUGAACCCUUCUCUCGCUCGCAGAAACAGAAGGAGGCGCAGUGAGGAAGCCCGACACAACCAACCCUCCCCCCUCCCAAAUAAACCACUAGGGUCACUUUAGGAUGACCAAAUCAUCAGCGAUUCACACUGAAGGGGGGAAUCGGAGGGCUGAUGAUGUGGAGGAGGCCGAGUCGCUGGGCGCUUUCGGGGCGCUGUGCCCGGAGGCUCAGGCCAGGGGACAGGGAACCUUGGUUAGAGGCGGCCGCGGAGGCUGCAGGAGCCCACACAGGUCCUGCUUUCUUGGCGAGUCCUGCUGCCCGCGACUGAAGGCAAUUGACUUCCAUCCGCAAUCUCAGCUCCAAACGCCUUGCUUUAGAAGCUGGGGGAACCGUCCCUGGGGGAGCGGGUGGCAGGCUGUGAGCCUCCCGCGACCCCUCUGAUUCCUGCACAGUGCCCGAGGGAGAGUGUGCUAGAAAUGGCUUGGCUGCCGAAUGCAUUAUCUUGCCAUUUUCGUAUCCCGAUACCGCACAAACGAUCGCCUGAUCGAUCGGAACUAGGAGGGAAAGGUAGAGUGGAAAUUGAUUUCUGGCAGAGACUGAGGCGCCGAAUGAUAGAGGGAAUAAACAUUUGCCCUGGAUAAAAAUGUUCUUGGCUGUAUUCCAGCCCUAACGAUGUCCUAGAGCAGAAGUUUUUCUUCAGUCGUCUCAUUUUACCAAAAGGAUGAUCUCUGUGAACUUGAUGACUUAACAGCAAACUCUUGCUUCACGGCUAUUCCAUUCCUCCAGGUAGUGGACAAACCACCAUUUUUCAUCAAGAGCCAAGUUGAUUCUUCCGACUUGCUUACAUAGGGAAUGGAUAGGAGCCAAGAUGGGGAGAACUGGACAUCGAACUAGUUUCCAGAAAUAAACUAAUAAUUCAAGGACUUCUAAUAUUACAUAGUUUGAUUCAUUUAGAAUGUACUACUUAGCAAAGAGUCUUACACAUAUUAGCACCCAAUACAUGCUGAUUUGUUUAUAACAAAUACUGAUAUAGGUGUAAGGAAGUGAAUAAUGAUCAUGAAAUUUGAAGAUUAUAUGAAACAUAUAUGAUAUGAAGAAAAACUACUAAACACAAUAAGAUUAAGUGCAGAAGCCAGUGGAAAUUGGAAAAAUAUUAAAAGAAACUUGAGAUCUAAAAUGAGACCAUAAGAGACUGACUGACAGGGAGUGGGAGGAAUUUUAUUUUCAUGGAAAGAUUGAUAUGAAGCAAUUGGAGCGUUUUCUCCUUGUAUUUUGUACAAUAUUGCAAUCAAGAAAAGAAGCUGAACAUUUG
ensembl:lncRNA